rnacentral:rRNA from 1 species
UUUAAAUUGAGAGUUUGAUCCUGGCUCAGGAUGAACGCUGGCGGCGUGCUUAACACAUGCAAGUCGAGCGAUG